CCUACGGGAGGCAGCAGUGGGGAAUAUUGGACAAUGGGGGAAACCCUGAUCCAGCGACGCCGCGUGAGUGAAGAAGUAUUUCGGUACGUAAAGCUCUAUCAGCAGGAAAGAAAAUGACGGUACCUGACUAAGAAGCCCCGGUUAACUACGUGCCAGCAGCCGCGGUAAUACGUAGGGGGCAAGCGUUAUCCGGAUUUACUGGGUGUAAAGGGAGCGUAGACGGCAGCGCAAGUCUGGAGUGAAAUGCCGGGGCCCAACCCCGGAACUGCUGUGGAAACUGGGAAGCUGGAGUGCGGGAGAGGUAAGCGGAAUUCCUGGUGUAGCGGUGAAAUGCGUAGAUAUCAGGAGGAACACCGGCGGCGAAGGCGGCUUACUGGACUGUAACUGACGUUGAGGCUCGAAGGCGUGGGGAGCGAACAGGAUUAGAUACCCUAGUAGUC
rnacentral:rRNA from 1 species